CGGCGCACGGGUGAGUAACACGUGAGUGACCUGCCUUUUAGACUGGAACAACUUACCGAAAGGUGAGCUAAUGCCGGAUGAGUUAUAUAAGUGCAUGUUUAUAUAGGAAAAGUUGGGGAGACCUGACGCUGAAAGAUGGACUCGCGUCCCAUUAGCUAGUUGGUAGGGUAAUGGCCUACCAAGGCGACGAUGGGUAGCCGGCCUGAGAGGGUGGCCGGCCACACUGGGACUGAGACACGGCCCAGACUCCUACGGGAGGCAGCAGUGGGGAAUUUUGCGCAAUGCUCGUAAGAGUGACGCAGCGACGCCGCGUGAAUGACGAAGGCCUUCGGGUCGUAAAGUUCUUUCGACAGGGAAGAAAAUGCCUAUAAGUAACUGUGUAUGUAUUGACGGUACCUGUAUAAGCAGCCCCGGCUAACUCCGUGCCAGCAGCCGCGGUAAUACGGAGGGGGCGAGCGUUGUUCGGAGUGACUGGGCGUAAAGAGCACGUAGGCGGUGUUGUAAGUCAUUAGUCAAAGACUAGAGCUCAACUUUAGUAAGGCUAGUGAUACUAUAAUACUAGAGUAUCAGAGAGGAUUGCAGAAUUCCUGGUGUAGCGGUGAAAUGCGUAGAUAUCAGGAGGAAUACCGUUAGCGAAGGCGGCAAUCUGGCUGGAAACUGACGCUGAGGUGCGAAAGCGUGGGUAGCAAACAGGAUUAGAUACCCUGGUAGUCCACGCUGUAAACGAUGGAUGCUAGGUGUUGGGCUUUUAAGUUCAGUGCCGCAGCAAACGCGAUAAGCAUCCCGCCUGGGGAGUACGUUUUGCAGAAUGAAACUCAAAGGAAUUGAC
rnacentral:rRNA from 1 species